UCUGUGGGGCACCCAAUUUGUUAGCGAAGAGCCUGGCUUAAGAAAAAAAGCUAGCAAACGAAGACUUGGGUGCGCACACAUAGAUCAAAAGACAAAUAGACAGAUAGAUAGGUAGACAGAUAGACAGACAGAGAGAAGAAAAAUGAAAAUCAUUAGAGGCACAUAUUUGGUCCAAGAUAAUCAUGGCUAGCUGAGGCUAUUAAAGCUAACCGAGGCAACCUUUAAUAGCCUCCUCCUUUUUUAACAUCAGCAGGUCUUUUCCACACCAUCAACCUCUCCGGGCCCAGAGAUACAACAAACUCACUCCAAAAUGAAAGCUCCCUCCUUUGUAAAAGCUCCAAUACGGCUGUGGCCACUAGGCAACCAU
rnacentral:lncRNA from 1 species